rnacentral:tRNA from 1 species
GGAAAUAGGGCUUAGUGGUUAGAGUGCUUGCCUAGCAUGCAUGAAGCCCUGGGUUCAAUUCCUUAGUCCCA